AGGGUUGGCCGGACAGCCGCUGCGUGCUUCGGCACGGGGAGGAAAGUCCGGGCUCCACAGGGCAGGAUGCCGGCUAACGGCCGGACGCCGCAAGGCGAGGAACAGGGCCACAGAGACGAGUAAAUCCCAAGGGGCGCAAGCCCUGCGGGGUGGACGUGAAACGCGGUAACCUCCAUCCGGAGCAACACCAAAUAGGCAGACGAUGAAGCGGCUCGCCGAGUCUGCGGGUAGGUGGCUUGAGUCCGUCAGCAAUGACGGACCUAGAGGAAUGGCUGUCAUGGGGGCGACCCCUUACAGAACCCGGCUUACAGGCCAACCCAUUGU
rnacentral:RNase_P_RNA from 1 species